UCGAACGCGAAAGUCCCGCAAGGGAUCAGUAGAGUGGCAAACGGGUGAGUAACACGUGGGUGACCUGCCUUCGAGUGGGGGAUAACGUCCCGAAAGGGACGCUAAUACCGCAUAACAUCCUGCUUUUUAAGAGGUGGAGAUCAAAGCCGGGGAUCGCAAGACCUGGCGCUUGAAGAGGGGCCCGCGUCCGAUUAGCUAGUUGGUGGGGUAAUGGCUCACCAAGGCUUCGAUCGGUAUCCGGCCUGAGAGGGCGGACGGACACACUGGGACUGAGACACGGCCCAGACUCCUACGGGAGGCAGCAGUGGGGAAUUGUUCGCAAUGGGCGCAAGCCUGACGACGCAACGCCGCGUGGAGGAUGAAGACCUUCGGGUCGUAAACUCCUUUCGAUCGAGACGAAUGGCCUCUGGGUAAAUAGCCUGGAGGAGUGACGGUACCGAGAGAAGAAGCCCCGGCUAACUCCGUGCCAGCAGCCGCGGUAAUACGGGGGGGGCAAGCGUUGUUCGGAAUUACUGGGCGUAAAGGGCUCGUAGGUGGCCAACUAAGUCGGACGUGAAAUCCCUCGGCUUAACCGGGGAACUGCGUCUGAUACUGGAUGGCUUGAGUUCGGGAGAGGGAUGCGGAAUUCCAGGUGUAGCGGUGAAAUGCGUAGAUAUCUGGAGGAACACCGGUGGCGAAGGCGGCAUCCUGGACCGACACUGACGCUGAGGAGCGAAAGCCAGGGGAGCAAACGGGAUUAGAUACCCCGGUAGUCCUGGCCCU
rnacentral:rRNA from 1 species